rnacentral:miRNA from 1 species
AUAGCCAGCAUGGCCAAAGCGCU